rnacentral:rRNA from 1 species
UACAGAGGUCUCAAGCGUUGUUCGGAUUCAUUGGGCGUAAAGGGUGUGUAGGUGGCGCGCUAAGUCGGGUGUGAAAUUUCGGAGCUUAACUCCGAAACUGCAUUCGAUACUGGCGUGCUUGAGGACUGGAGAGGAGACUGGAAUUUACGGUGUAGCAGUGAAAUGCGUAGAUAUCGUAAGGAAGACCAGUGGCGAAGGCGGGUCUCUGGGCCGAUAUUGACGCUGGAGGAGCGAAAGGCGUGGGGAGCGAACAGG